CCUGGACAUAUCCCUAGUCUUGGAACCCAAGAAUUCCUGACCUGAGUAUGUGCACACUUACCAUGAGUGACAUGGAGGGAAAAGAGCACCUCUCACCUCCCCUGCUUUGCAGACUAGCAUGGCAUUGUCGGAGCUCCAGAGGAACUCAGAGAUUCCACACAGCAACAGGAGGACAUGCUGUGGAGGACAAUGACAUGGUUUCUCUUCCACCAUCCAACUACAGACAAGGACUCCAAGUUAACAACAAGAACUGUGGAAUCUACAGGAGUGGUCCCUUGUGACAGCCUCCCAGUGGAUAAUCCAGAAAACCUGCCUGACCAUGUAAACAAAUAUCUCAGAGGAACCUUGGGAAUUAAAUGUGUUUCCCUUCCUGAACUCUUGAAUGGAUACAUGAGAAGGGCAGUAUCCAUGGAACACCUGUCCCAGGUCUCCACUCACAUGAAGAAGGAGAACUUGAGGUCAUACCCUCGGCCCAUCUUUCACUGGUAUUAGACAGAGACAAUUUUCAAACAAAUACUGAUUCACUUAAUUAGAAUCAAAACAUAAUUUGUAUAAAUUGGCAUUCAGAAUGUUUGACCCCUGGAGGAGAGAAAUCUGAAGCUAUAUGAGCUCUCAGGUUCUACCAGCUGUUAUUCUAAAGGUAACAGAGGUUUGCACUUCAUCUAUACUCUCAGCAAAAUCCAGUCUGAUGCUCAAACACAAGAUGUAAAAACCAACUGGACCUGAACCUAGAAGAGAGGGCAGAGGACAAGAGAGAUUCUUGCAGACCAUCAUCUUCCUCUUCCAGGACUUCCCACCGAGUCUCAAAGACCCACAAAUGCUACAGGGAAGUAAUGGAAACCAGACACAUGGAACAGAACAGAAAGUUAGGUAACACCCAGUGAAAUCCUGCCAGCUGAUGUUCUGAUAGUCAACCAAGGAAAUCAAGGCAGAGAGAGUGGCUUGUCCACAAUUGAUUGUAGAAAAAGAUUUAAAAACAAGAAUAAGGAACCCUUUUAAAAACAAGAAACAUGGGCUGGAGAGAUGGCUCAUCCGUUAAAGGCCAGGCUCACAACCAAAAAGAAAAACAAGAAACAUGAACACAGUCACCAUUUCAAUUAACCCCAAAUACAAACACUAUAAUGUUCACAUAAACUUAUAGAAGAGGACAACGUAAGUGCCUGCCUUAUAGGAAGGAGGAAGGAGAAUAACACAGAUGAACUGCGGACUCAGGAGCCCUGCUGCCGACAGCCAUGAAUAUACAGAGGCAGGAGCAUGGCUGGAGAAGGACACUCCCCAGGACCUCUAGAGAGAGCUUGGCCCUGACACACGCCAGAGGACAACAAAUCUCUGCCAGUGAAAGCUCUGUGUCUGUGAGGAGGUGGAGGCGUUGUGUGUGCUGUGUGGUGGACUAGUGCUGAAACCUGUGCCAUUGUGUGGGAUGGAGAUGAGCUGUCCAGCGGAUCUGAUAACAGCACUGUAUGGAUGCCCCAGUCAGCUGGGAAACCAGCAGUGCUGACACCUAGAUACUCACAUGUGCUACCCAUGUCCCUCCCCUUGUUAACAACGUACAUACAGUGUCAGUGUAAGGACAUGAAUGACACCCCUUACCCACUCUCACCACAUAGUUCUCUAGGUAUUAGGACUAGAUAUUCAACUCCCUUCUGCUGUCCCCCACACAAUGCUAGAUUCUAGACCAUGCUAGACAUGCCUCCAACCACACUGUACUAAGACAUGGGGAAAUGUUGGACACUUGACCUCCUGACAAGGAUACACAGUUACUGCUUGGUUCAAAUACUCAUGGAAUCUUUCUGGACAGACACACAACACUAGGUAUAAUGCAACGUGGGACACUACAGCCAUGCCACCUCACUUUUACUACCAGCUGUCAGACCAGAUAAACAACACCUACAUUACACACACACACACACACACACACACACACACACACACACAUAUACACACACACAGCCUCUAAGACACUUAUUUCUAAGUGUGGGCCAUGCAUGACUUCCAACCAAAUCACACAUUGACUGCUAGGUAUCAGGCCUUCCUGAACAAA